AUCGCUUCUCGGCCUUUUGGCUAACAUCAAAGUGUAGUAGAUGCGCUGCUUAGUCGGUGGACUAGUUUCUUUUGUCGUACUGACAGUUUCAUAGUACCGGCUAAGCGCAUGAGCCCAUUGGCCGAGUUGCCAAUAUUCUUACUAAUUUUUGUUUUUAUGUUGUAAUUUUGUUAGUUAUAGGUGUACUGGUGGAUAAGAUUGUCGUUUUUGCCGAGGCCCUGCCCACCGCCAAGACCACGCCCA
rnacentral:snRNA from 1 species